rnacentral:rRNA from 1 species
GAUGAACGCUGGCGGCGUGCCUAAUACAUGCAAGUCGAGCGAACAGAUGAGGAGCUUGCUCCUCUGACGUUAGCGGCGGACGGGUGAGUAACACGUGGAUAACCUACCUAUAAGACUGGGAUAACUUCGGGAAACCGGAGCUAAUACCGGAUAAUAUAUUGAACCGCAUGGUUCAAUAGUGAAAGACGGUUUUGCUGUCACUUAUAGAUGGAUCCGCGCCGCAUUAGCUAGUUGGUAAGGUAACGGCUUACCAAGGCAACGAUGCGUAGCCGACCUGAGAGGGUGAUCGGCCACACUGGAACUGAGACACGGUCCAGACUCCUACGGGAGGCAGCAGUAGGGAAUCUUCCGCAAUGGGCGAAAGCCUGACGGAGCAACGCCGCGUGAGUGAUGAAGGUCUUCGGAUCGUAAAACUCUGUUAUUAGGGAAGAACAAAUGUGUAAGUAACUAGGCACGUCUUGACGGUACCUAAUCAGAAAGCCACGGCUAACUACGUGC